rnacentral:rRNA from 1 species
CAGUCGCCGCGGGAAUACGAAGGGUGCAAGCGUUACUCGGAAUUACUGGGCGUAAAGCGUGCGUAGGUGGUGGUUUAAGUCCGUUGUGAAAGCCCUGGGCUCAACCUGGGAAUUGCAGUGGAUACUGGGUCACUAGAGUGUGGUAGAGGAUAGUGGAAUUUCCGGUGUAGCAGUGAAAUGCGUAGAGAUCGGAAGGAACAUCUGUGGCGAAGGCGACUAUCUGGGCCAACACUGACACUGAGGCACGAAAGCGUGGGGAGCAAACAGGAUUAGAUACCCGGUAGUCCCUGUCUCUUAUACA